ACCACGGUGGUCUAACGGUUAGAACGCCGGCCUUGUAAUCCUGGGGUCUCGGGUUCGAUUCCCGGCGGUG
rnacentral:tRNA from 1 species